GCGGUAGCAGGGAGAAAGCUUGCUUUCUCCGCUGACGAGCGGCGGACGGGUGAGUAAUGUCUGGGGAUCUGCCUGAUGGAGGGGGAUAACUACUGGAAACGGUAGCUAAUACCGCAUAACGUCGCAAGACCAAAGUGGGGGACCUUCGGGCCUCAUGCCAUCAGAUGAACCCAGAUGGGAUUAGCUAGUAGGUGGGGUAAUGGCUCACCUAGGCGACGAUCCCUAGCUGGUCUGAGAGGAUGACCAGCCACACUGGAACUGAGACACGGUCCAGACUCCUACGGGAGGCAGCAGUGGGGAAUAUUGCACAAUGGGCGCAAGCCUGAUGCAGCCAUGCCGCGUGUAUGAAGAAGGCCUUCGGGUUGUACAAGUACUUUCAGUAGGGAGGAAGGUGUGAGCGUUAAUAGCGUUCACAAUUGACGUUA
rnacentral:rRNA from 1 species